rnacentral:rRNA from 1 species
GUUGAACGCUGGCGGCAGGCCUAAUACAUGCAAGUCGAACGAGUGGCGGACUGGUGAGUAAUGUCUGGGCAACUGCCCGAUGGAGGGGGAUAACUACUGGAAACGGUAGCUAAUAGCGCAUAACAUGCGAUCUGCUCAGAUGGGAUUAGCUAGUAGGUGGGUUAACGGCUCACCUAGGCGACGAUCCGUAGCUGGUCUGCGAGGGUGACCAGCCACACUGGAACUGAGACACGGUCCAGACGCCUACGGGAGGCAGCAGUGGGGAAUAGUGCACAAUGGGCGCAAGCCUGACGAAGCCAUGCCGCGUGUGUGAAGAAGGCCUUCGGAUUGUAAAGUACUUUCGGCGGGGAGGCGUUACCCGCAGAAGAAGCACCGGCUAACUCCGUGCCAGCCGCCGCGGUAAUAC